GAUGAAGAACGUAGCGAAAUGCGAUAAGUAAUGUGAAUUGCAGAAUUCAGUGAAUCAUCGAAUCUUUGAACGCACAUUGCGCCCGCCAGUAUUCUGGCGGGCAUGCCUGUCCGAGCGUCAUUUCAACCAUCAAGCCCCGGGCUUGUGUUGGGGACCUGCGUCCGACGCAGGCCCUGAAAACCAGUGGCGGGCUCGCUGUCCACACCGAGCGUAGUAACUAACCUCGCUAUGGAGUGGCGCGGGCGCCUGCCGUAAAACCCCCAAUUUUUACAAGGUUGACCUCGGAUCAGGUAGGAAUAUCCGCUGAACUUAAGCAUAUCAAUAAGCGGAGGA
rnacentral:misc_RNA from 1 species